CACAGUUGCUCAAAGGUAACUGUGUAUAUAUAAAGAGAUAGUUUGGAUCAUACGAUAUUGGUAUUGACUACUGAAGGAAAAUAAGUCCUUUCAUUUCACAUCGUCAUCGUGGUCUCGCAGUAAAUCUGAAGACAUGAAAGCCGUCAUCUUAAUUUUAUGUGUGAUAGCCAUCUCCCUAACAGAGGCCUAUUACUAUAGGCAUGGUGGUUAUCGCCGUAUGUACAGACCCCCGAAACCCCCUGUUCCACCAAUUAAUCCACCAGUUCCACCACCAGUUAAUCCAACCCUAAGCUGCCCAGGAAAUGUAGGCGGUAAAUUGCUUUUUUGCUCUCCAAACUGUCUCAAACCGAGCUUUGUUCCUGUAAGCGGAGUCCCUGGAUGUUAUGCUGGAUUAACUUGUUGCACUCAAGUAUAAAAAAUUAUGCAGAAAAAAAUUUAAAGACUUAAAAGUGGUUGAGAAUACUCAGAACCAAUGAUGGACGGAUAGAAAGGAUGGUGCACAAUAAAAGCUCUUGAUUCACAUAUA